rnacentral:rRNA from 1 species
AACCGUUCGAUUGACUACGGUUGGUGGAGUGUUGAAGCAAACGCGAUAAGUGUACCGCCUGGGGAGUACGGUCGCAAGGCUAAAACUCAAAGGAAUUGACGGGGGCCCGCACAAGCAGCGGAGCGUGUGGUUUAAUUCGAGGCUACGCGAAGAACCUUACCUGGGUUUGACAUCUAGGUGAACGAGCUAGAGAUAGUGAGGUCCCUUCGGGGUACCUAGACAGGUGCUGCAUGGCUGUCGUCAGCUCGUGUCGUGAGAUGUUCGGUUAAGUCCGAAAACGAGCGCAACCCCUGGGUCUAGUUACAAGUGUCUAGACCGCCUCCCUGCGGCAAGCAGGAGGAAGGUGGGGAUGACGUCAAGUCAGCAUGGCCUUUAUAUCCAGGGCUACACACACGCUACAAUGGCGCGUACAAUGGGUAGCCAAGCCGCGAGGUGGAGCCAAUCCUGCAAAGCGCGUCGUAGUUCGGAUUGUAGGCUGCAACUCGCCUGCAUGAAGUCGGAGUUGCUAGUAACCGCAGAUCAGCCCGCUCCGGUGAAUCCGUUCCCGGGCCUUGUACACCCCGCCCGUCACGUCAUGGGAGCUGGUCACGCCCGAAGUCGGGAAGCCAACCGCAAGGGGGCUACCGCCGAAGGCAGGGCUGGUAACUGGGACGAAGUCGUAACAAGGUAGCUGUAGCGGAAGCUGCGGCUGGAUCACCUCCUU